rnacentral:rRNA from 1 species
AGGUCAAGCAAGUAAGAGCUAACGGUGGAGCCCUAGGCACACAGAGACGAAGAAGGACGUAGCGACCGACGAUACACUCCGGGGAGCUGGAAGCAAGCCUCGAUCCGGAGGUCUCCGAAUGGGACAACCCCUAGCACGGCUCGUUGAAUCCAUAGACGAGCGCGAGGGAACCCGGUGAACUGAAAUAUCUUAGUAACCGGAGGAAAAGAAAGCAACUGCGAUUCCCCCAGUAGCGACGAGCGAACGGGGAGCAGCCUAAACUCUCCACUGCGGUGGAGAGGGUAGUGGGACAGCCACCAGGGACGGGAAAGGUUAGACCAAGCAGUAGAAUGCUGCACCAAAGAAGGUGAAAGUCCUGUAGUCGAAAACCGGAACUGCCCGGCUGUAUCCCGAGUAGCACGGGGCACGUGAAAUCCUGUGUGAAUCAGCGAGGACCACCUCGUAAGGCUAAAUAUUCCUGUGUGACCGAUAGCGAACCAGUACCGCGAGGGAAAGGUGAAAAGAACCCCGGAGAGGGGAGUGAAAAAGAACGUGAAACCGUUAGCUUACAAGCAGUGGGAGGACGAUUCAACGUCUGACCGCGUGCCUGUUGAAGAAUGAGCCGGCGAGUGACAAGGAGUGGCUGGUUAAGGCGGAAAGCGCCGAAGCCUCAGCGAAAGCGAGUCCGAACAGGGCGCGUAGUCACCCCUUGUCGACCCGAACCCGGGUGAACUAACCAUGUCCAGGAAGAAGCUUGGGUAAUACCAAGUGGAAGUCCGAACCGACCAACGUUGCAAAGUUGGCGGAUGAGGUGUGGUUAGGGGUGAAAUGCCAAUCGAACCCGGAGCUAUCUGGUUCUCCCCGAAAUGCGUUUCGGCGCAGCGGUAGUCCUCACUCCGGUGGGGGUAAAGCACUGUUUCGCUGCGGGCUGCGAAAGCGGUACCAAAGCGAGGCAAACUCAGAAUACCACCAGGAGCAACUACCAGUGAGACGGUGGGGGAUAAGCUUCAUCGUCAAGAGGGAAACAGCCCAGACCACCAGCUAAGGUCCCCAAAUGGUCACUCAGUGAUUAAGGAGGUGGGAAUGCUGAGACAACCAGGAGGUUUGCUUAGAAGCAGCAACCCUUAAAAGAGUGCGUAAUAGCUCACUGGUCAAGCGUUCCGGCGCCGAAAAUGAGCGGGGCUAAGUGACCUGCCGAAGCUGUGGACGUAAUCAUCGUGGUAGGGGAGCGUUCUGUGGCGGGAGAAGCACUAGCGGCGAGCAGGUGUGGACGCCACAGAAGUGAGAAUGUCGGCUUAAGUAGCGAAAACUUGGGUGAGAAUCCCAAGCCCCGAAACCCCAAGGGUUCCUCCGGAAGGUUCGUCCGCGGAGGGUAAGUCAGGACCUAAGGCGAGGCCGAAAGGCGUAGUCGAUGGACAACGGGUUAACAUUCCCGUACCGUGGCGAGCUAGUGAUGGGUGACGGAGAAGGGCGACACCAUCCGGGGAUCGGUAGUCCCGGUGCAAGCGUCCCAGGCGAAGAAGGGCGGCGAAAACGCCCCGAGCCCAGGCGCGAGUCCGACUCCCUACGGGGAGGAAGUGGUGUCGCUCAUCUUCCCAGAAAAGCCCUGACCACGGCAAGCUCGUCACGCCUGUACUCGAAACCGACACAGGUGGGGUGGUAGAGCAUACCGAGGGGCGCGAGAGAACUCUCUCUAAGGAACUCGGCAAAAUGGCCCCGUAACCUCGGGAGAAGGGGUGCCACCGAGAGGUGGCCGCAGUGACCAGGCCCAGGCGACUGUUUACCAAAAACACAGGUCUCCGCUAAGUCGAAAGACGCCGUAUGGAGGCUGACGCCUGCCCAGUGCCGGAAGGUUAAGGAAGUCGGUUAGCCCCACAGGGGCGAAGCGGGCAACCGAAGCCCCGGUGAACGGCGGCCGUAACUAUAACGGUCCUAAGGUAGCGAAAUUCCUUGUCGGGUAAGUUCCGACCCGCACGAAAGGCGCAACGAUCUGGGCACUGUCUCGGAGAGAGACUCGGCGAAAUAGGAAUGUCUGUGAAGAUACGGACUACCUGCACCAGGACAGAAAGACCCCAUGAAGCUUGACUGUAACCUGGAAUGGGGUUGCGGCUUGGCAUGCGCAGGAUAGGUGGGAGGCGUAGAAAGUUCCCUUGAGGGGGAACCGGAGCCAUCCUUGAGAUACCACCCUUGUCAGGCGGGAAUCCUAACCCUUGCCCGUAAGCCGGGGAGGGGACAGUUUCAGGCGGGCAGUUUGACUGGGGCGGUCGCCUCCUAAAAAGUAACGGAGGCGCGCCAAGGUUCCCUCAGGCUGGUUGGAAAUCAGCCCGAGAGUGUAAAGGCACAAGGGAGCCUGACUGCGAGAGAGACACCUCAAGCAGGGACGAAAGUCGGCCUUAGUGAUCCGACGGCGCUGCGUGGAAGGGCCGUCGCUCAACGGAUAAAAGUUACUCUGGGGAGGGCGGGAGUACGUCCCAAGGGUUGGGCUGUUCGCCCAUUAAAGCGGUACGUGAGCUGGGUUCAGAACGUCGUGAGACAGUUCGGUCCAUAUCCGGUGCAGGCGCAAGAGCAUUGAGAGGAGCCCUCCUUAGUACGAGAGGACCGGGAGGGACGCACCGCUGGUGUACCAGUUAUCCCGCCAGGGGUAGACGCUGGGUAGCCAAGUGCGGAGCGGAUAACCGCUGAAAGCAUCUAAGUGGGAAGCCCACCUCAAGAUGAGUGCUCUCACUCCUUAAAGGAGUUAAGGUCACAGCUAGACUAGCUGUGGAUAGGCGCUAGGUGUAAGCGUGGCAACACGUGCAGCCGAGGCGUCCUAACAGACCGAGGGCUUGACCUC